AUUGGGAAGUCCUGCCUGGAUCGAGCCCUGCCUCCCCUGCCCUGUUUCCCUCUGCCGUGGCACGCACUGCAUACAGCCUCUGAAACAACGACCUCAGUUGUUUAAGGCUUUGUUAAGUGCAUUAAAUACAGAUGACUCCAAGGAGAUGUCCAUAGGGUGAGCACUGGCCUUGCAAAGUACUGUCACUGUGGCUGUGUUGCCUCCUCGGACCACCCUGGCUUCCCCCAGGCCCUCUGUGAUGGAUGCUACAGCCCCAGAAACAGCAGCGAAGCCCCAGAGCAAGCCCUCCUCACCCUCCUACUCUCUCUCUUACCAGAAACAAUGCAAUCAGAAAGUAAAAUUGGCAUCUGGAGCAUCUUGCACAGUAAGCAUAGACAAAUAUUUACCUAGGUACUGCAUUUCAACGAGGUGAAAGGUUUGUGGGUUCCUAUUUGAAGGCAGAUGAUGCCAGAGAGGCCAAAGCCACAGAUCAGGAGUGGUUCAGUGGUGCUCUCAACUGGGAGGAGAGCACUGACAGCAUACUCUCAACACAAAAAAUAGAUAUAUAAAUGAAAACAUAAGGUAGCUGGAGUGAUGGACAGCCUAAAGGAGAGGACCUGUGGACCAGAUCGAUGUCCUGAAUGACAUGAGAUAUUGUGUGAGCUGGAUGGCAAAGGAGAAGAAAUACCUCAUCUGUAUAAAAGUGCGUUGUUGCAGGGGUUUCUCUGCCGGCAGAGGUCAGCAGGCACAUCGAGGAGCCCGCAAGCAGGUUCCAAGUAACUCCGGGAGGAAUGGAGUUUCGUCUUGGGGUUCUCCUUCGGAGUCAGGAAUGCUCCUGUCUCUGACACAGGACUGAUUUACCUGCUGUCUUCUCAGAGAUGUCAGUGGCAAGUGACAAGUGCUGGCUAACGGGUCCAUGUGUGGGG
rnacentral:lncRNA from 14 species